rnacentral:rRNA from 1 species
UUGAACGCUGGCGGAAUGCUUUACACAUGCAAGUCGAGCGGCAGCGCGGGGGCAACCCUGGCGGCGAGCGGCGAACGGGUGAGUAACAUAUCGGAACGUACCCUAUCGUGGGGGAUAACACAUCGAAAGAUGUGCUAAUACCGCAUACGACCUGAGGGUGAAAGCAGGGGAUCGCACGACCUUGCGCGACCGGAGCGGCCGCUAUCGGAUUAGCUAGUUGGUGAGGUAAAGGCUCACCAAGGCGACGAUCCGUAGCUGGUCUGGGAGGACGACCAGCCACACUGGAACGGAGACACGGGCCAGACUCCUACGGGAGGCAGCAGUGGGGAAUUUUGGACAAUGGGGGAAACCCUGAUCCAGCCAGGCCGCGUGAGUGAAGAAGGCCUUCGGGUUGUAAAACUCUUUCGGCAGGAACGAAACGGUGAGCUCUAACAUAGCGUGCUAAUGACGGUACCUGAAGAAGAAGCACCGGCUAACUACGU